GAGACUCUGUGCGCGUGCAUAUCAAUAAGCGGAGGAAAAGAAACUAACAAGGAUUCCCCUAGUAACGGCGAGUGAAGCGGGAAGAGCUCAAAUUUGAAAUCUUAAAGGGUUUCCCUUUACGAAUUGUAGUUUAAAGAAGUGUUUUCUGUUGGAGUUUCGGUAAAAGUUCUUUGGAAUAGGACAUCAUAGAGGGUGAGAAUCCCGUAGUUUGACCGUUACUUUCCAGCUGUGUGAUACACUUUCAAAGAGUCGGAUUGUUUGGGAAUGCAGUCCAAAAUGGGUGGUAAAUUUCAUCUAAAGCUAAAUAUUGGCGAGAGACCGAUAGCGAACAAGUACCGUGAGGGAAAGAUGAAAAGAACUUUGAAAAGAGAGUUAAACAGUACGUGAAAUUGUCAAAAGGGAAGCGUUUGACACCAGUGUUGGUUAGUUGAAAAUCAAUUCAGUAGUUUUUGAUUCUAAGUAGUAUUGGCUUCAUCAGCUUGCUGCUUUCUUCUCAGAAAUUAUUGAAUGCACUUUUCAGUUAACAAGUCAACAUCAAUUUCUUUUGUUGUAAAAGGGUAAGAGGAAGGUGGCUUGCGCUUCGGCUCAAGUGUUUAUAGCCUUUUACCCCUGCAAUCGGAGAGAUUGAGGUCUGCAGCGUAGAUCCUUCGGGGUUAGAUACAUUUGUGCUAAGCUAUAGCCUUGUAUAGACAACUUGUUGACUAUGCUCAGUCAUGUAGCUUACUCGCUUAUGCUAUUUUACCUACGCUUAGGAUGUUGACAGCAGUAUAGACUGU
rnacentral:rRNA from 1 species